rnacentral:rRNA from 1 species
UACGUAGGGGGCAAGCGUUGUCCGGAAUUAUUGGGCGUAAAGAGCGUGUAGGCGGUCCGGUAAGUCAGCUGUGAAAGUCAAGGGCUACCACCUUGAAAGCCGGUUGAUACUGUCGGGCUAGAGUCCGGAAGAGGCGAGUGGAAUUCCCGGUGUAGCGGUGAAAUGCGCAGAUAUCGGGAGGAACACCAAUGGCGAAGGCAGCUCGCUGGGACGGUACUGACGCUGAGACGCGAAAGCGUGGGGAGCAAACAGG